AGUGAACGCUGGCGGUAGGCCUAACACAUGCAAGUCGAACGGCAGCACAGUAAGAGCUUGCUCUUACGGGUGGCGAGUGGCGGACGGGUGAGGAAUACAUCGGAAUCUACUUUUUCAUGGGGGAUAACGUAGGGAAACUUACGCUAAUACCGCAUACGACCUACGGGUGAAAGCAGGGGAUCUUCGGACCUUGCGCGAUUGAAUGAGCCGAUGUCGGAUUAGCUAGUUGGCGGGGUAAAGGCCCACCAAGGCGACGAUCCGUAGCUGGUCUGAGAGGAUGAUCAGCCACACUGGAACUGAGACACGGUCCAGACUCCUACGGGAGGCAGCAGUGGGGAAUAUUGGACAAUGGGCGCAAGCCUGAUCCAGCCAUACCGCGUGGGUGAAGAAGGCCUUCGGGUUGUAAAGCCCUUUUGUUGGGAAAGAGAAGCAGCAGGUUAAUACCCCACUGUUCUGACGGUACCCAAAGAAUAAGCACCGGCUAACUUCGUG
rnacentral:rRNA from 1 species